UACAGAGGGGGCAAGCGUUAUUCGGAAUUAUUGGGCGUAAAGGGCGCGUAGGCGGCUUGGCAAGUGGAUGGUGAAAUCCCUCGGCUUAACCGAGGAACUGCCGUCCAAACUGCUUCGCUUGAGACCGGGAGAGGUGAGUGGAAUUCCCAGUGUAGCGGUGAAAUGCGUAGAUAUUGGGAGGAACACCAGUGGCGAAGGCGGCUCACUGGACCGGUACUGACGCUGAGGAGCGAAAGCAUGGGUAGCGAACAGG
rnacentral:rRNA from 1 species